rnacentral:tRNA from 1 species
GCCCGAAUGACGAAAUGGUAGACGUAGGGGACUUAAAAUCCCCGGGCAGAAAUGCCGUGCUGGUUCAAGUCCAGUUUCGGGCACCA